CGGUGGAGCAUGUGGUUUAAUUCGAAGCAACGCGAAGAACCUUACCAGGUCUUGACAUCCUCUGACAAUCCUAGAGAUAGCUUCCCGGCAGAUACAGGUGUGACGAGCGCAACCCUUGUCCUUAGUUGCCAGCGGGAUGUCAAAUAUCAUGCCCCUUAUGACCUGGCUACAUACAUGGAUGGUACAAGGGUUGCGAGACCGCGAGGUUUAGCCUCCCAUAAAACCAUUCUCAGUUCGGAUUGUAGUGCAACUCGCCUACAUGAAGCCGGAAUCGCUAGUAAUCGGGAUCAGCAUGCCACGGUGAAUACGUUCCCGGGUCUUGUACACACCGCCGUCACACCACGAGAGUUUGUAACACCCGAAGUCGGUGGGGUAACCGCAAGGAGCCAGCCGCCUAAGUGGGACAGAUGAUUGGGGUGAAGUCGUACAAGGU
rnacentral:rRNA from 1 species